rnacentral:rRNA from 1 species
AGGAUCAUUAUCGUACAAAACAUGUGAGGGAGGCACGCGGGGGCUGUCGCUGACUUUAAAGUCGUGCACGCCGUCGGGUGUCCUCUCACAUAAAAUCCAUCUCACCCUUUGUGCACCACCGCGUGGGCACCUUUCUGGAUCAAACCGAUCCGGGAGGGGGCUUGCGUUUUCACACAAACCCCCCUUUUAAAAGUGUAGAAUGACCCUAGUUUUGCGAUGACACGCAAUCAAUACAACUUUCAACAACGGAUCUCUUGGCUCUCGCAUCGAUGAAGAACGCAGCGAAAUGCGAUACGUAAUGUGAAUUGCAGAAUUCAGUGAAUCAUCGAAUCUUUGAACGCACCUUGCGCCCCUUGGUAUUCCGAGGGGCACACCCGUUUGAGUGUCGUGAAAAUCUCAACCUCCUCGGUUUCUUCUGGACACCGAAGGAGGCUUGGACUUUGGAGGCCUUUGCUGGCGUCUCUCUCUUUUGAGAGCCAGCUCCUCUUAAAUGAAUUAGCAGGGUCCUCUUUGCCGAUCCUCGACGUGUGAUAAGAUGUUUCCAUGUCUUGGGUUUCUGGCUCUGUCACCUUUGGGACCUGCUUCUAAUCGUCAUGACCUUGCGUCAAGACAACGUUUGAGCGUGUCUCCCUUCCCGGGAAACCCUCUCAACCCACGAACCCUUGACCUCAAAUCGGGUGAGACUACCCGCUGAACUUAAGCAUAUCAAUAAGCGGAGGAAAAGAAACUAACAAGGAUUCCCCUAGUAACUGCGAGUGAAGCGGGAAAAGCUCAAAUUUAAAAUCUGGCGGUCUCUGGCCGUCCGAGUUGUAAUUUAGAGAAGCGUCUUCCGCGCUGGACCAUGCACAAGUCUCCUGGAAUGGAGCGUCAUAGAGGGUGAGAAUCCCGUCUUUGGCAUGGACCCCCGGUGCUUCUGUGAUGCGCUCUCGAAGAGUCGAGUUGUUUGGGAAUGCAGCUCAAAAUGGGUGGUGAACUCCAUCUAAAGCUAAAUAUUGGCGAGAGACCGAUAGCGAACAAGUACCGUGAGGGAAAGAUGAAAAGCACUUUGGAAAGAGAGUGAAACAGUACGUGAAAUUGUUGAAAGGGAAACGCUUGAAGUCAGUCGCGUCGUCUGAGACUCAGCCUUGCCUUGGCUUGGUGUACUUCUCGGCUCGACGGGUCAGCAUCAAUUUCGUCCCUCGGAUAAUGGCAAGGGAAAGGUGGCACCUUUACGGGUGUGUUAUAGUCUCCUGUCGCAUGCGAGGGGUGGGAUUGAGGAACUCAGCGUGCGCCUUUGGCGUCGGGGCUUCGGCCCACGUAACGCG